rnacentral:lncRNA from 1 species
CCUGCAUAAUACAUAAAAACCAUCUUGCAUAAUACACAAAAACCAUGAUCCCAAGUAAGUUCAAGCAUGAUCCUGCAUAAUGAAUAAAUAAAAAAAUUAAUUAGUAUAUUAACUCAAUUACAUAAAUAUUAUAAGGAGAAGAGAACAAGAAGUAAUACUUAUUGAAUGAUGAAAAUAAAAUAAAUUUAGCCACUCAUAUAAUAUAUUUUUAAUUAUGAAAUUUAUAUUGUUAGUAGGGAU